rnacentral:misc_RNA from 1 species
AGAAAAACGUCAUAAGCAUAAUAACAAGGCAUACAUUUUCAUUCCGAGAACGAAAUAUCUUCUCUUUCAUGUCAUCAUCAAUCAAAGUUUUAAUCGAAAACUCAGAAUCCUUACGAUAAACAGAUCCAUGCCUUGCCCCCGAAAAGGUAUAUGCAAAGCACAAAUCGAAGCACAACUACUGUUCAGGAGAGACCACAACUUAUCAUAACGCGACUUGAAGUAUACAGCUGCAGAACUAUCAGAUAAAAACAGUUGAGACUAUCCACCCUAAACCAGCUUUUCCAUACUUGCAAAGGAAGAAAUAGAAGAAGCCAAACAUUUCCCCACCAUUUACAUUACCAAACUUACUUAUUGUGGCAUUUCAAGAUCAGGCCUUUGAUCAAGUGCCUGAAUAGUUGUAUUGUCUGGAAGAGCAUCUGGGUACGUUGAUAUGAUUUUUGCCUUCAUGUUCCUCAACUUCAGAAAUAUGUAAUCAAGGUCUGACUUCAUAGAUUUUAAGAGACGUGUAUUUCUAGAGAAAUCUGCCGAGACCUCUGCGUAACAAUGUUCUGAGUACUCAUUGAAGUGAGAAAGGACUGCAUUGCUGUCCUGCAACCGUCCCAAUAUGAGGUUUUGCAAUUGCUUCAAAGAAUCCAAAUCCUUAGCGUUGAUUAGGGUUUUGAAUUCACUGGAAAUCUCUUCGGAUGCAGAUUUGAUGGAUUCUUUCUCUGUUUCCUCCAUUUUUUU